GAUGAACGCUAGCGGCAGGCCUAAUACAUGCAAGUCGAACGGUGUAGCAAUACACAGUGGCGCACGGGUGCGUAACACGUAUGCAACCUACCUAUCAUUGGGGGAUAGCCUUUGGAAACGGAGAUUAAUACCGCAUAAGACAGUAACAUGGCAUCAUGUAGCUGUUAAAGCUUUGGCGAUGAUAGAUGGGCAUGCGUCCAAUUAGUUAGUUGGUGAGGUAACGGCUCACCAAGACGAUGAUUGGUAGGGGAUCUGAGAGGAUAAUCCCCCACACUGGCACUGAGAUACGGGCCAGACUCCUACGGGAGGCAGCAGUAGGGAAUAUUGGGCAAUGGGCGGAAGCCUGACCCAGCCAUGCCGCGUGCAGGAUGAAGGCGUUAUGCGUUGUAAACUGCUUUUUUAUAGGAAGAAGGAGACCUUGCGAGGUUUGGUGACGGUACUAUAAGAAUAAGCACCGGCUAACUCCGUGCCAGCAGCCGCCGUAACAC
rnacentral:rRNA from 1 species